UUAGCGGCGGACGGGGGGAGUACACACGUGGGUAACCUACCUAUAAGACUGGAAUAACUCCGGGAAACGGGGCUAAUGCCGGAUAACAUGUUGGACCGCAUGGUCCUACAGUGAAAGACGGUCUUGCUGUCACUUAUAGAUGGACCCGCGCCGUAUUAGCUAGUUGGUAAGGGUAACGGCUUACCAAGGCAACGAUACGUAGCCGACCUGAGAGGGUGAUCGGCCACACUGGAACUGAGACACGGUCCAGACUCCUACGGGAGGCAGCAGUAGGGAAUCUUCCGCAAUGGGCGAAAGCCUGACGGAGCAACGCCGCCGUGAGUGAUGAAGGCCUUCGGGUCGUAAAACUCUGUUAUUAGGGAAGAACAAAUGUGUAAGUAACUAUGCACGUCUUGACGGUACCUAAUCAGAAAGCCACGGCUAACUACGUGCCAGCAGCCGCGGUAAUACGUAGGUGGCAAGCGUUAUCCGGAAUUAUUGGGCGUAAAGCGCGCGUAGGCGGUUUCUUAAGUCUGAUGUGAAAGCCCACGGCUCAACCGUGGAGGGUCAUUGGAAACUGGGAAACUUGAGUGCAGGAGAGGAAAGUGGAAUUCCAUGUGUAGCGGUGAAAUGCGCAGAGAUAUGGAGGAACACCAGUGGCGAAGGCGACUUUCUGGUCUGCAACUGACGCUGAUGUGCGAAAGCGUGGGGAUCAAACAGGAUUAGAUACCCUGGUAGUCCACGCCGUAAACGAUGAGUGCUAAGUGUUAGGGGGUUUCCGCCCCUUAGUGCUGCAGCUACGCAUUAAGCACUCCGCCUGGGGAGUACGACCGCAAG
rnacentral:rRNA from 1 species